UACGAAGGUGGCAAGCGUUGUUCGGAUUUACUGGGCGUACAGGGAGCGUAGGCGGUUCGGUAAGCCCUCUGUGAAAUCUCCAGGCUUAACCUGGAACAGUCGGAGGGGACUGCUGGGCUAGAGGACGGGAGAGGAGCGCGGAAUUCCUGGUGUAGAGGUGAAAUUCGUAGAUAUCAGGAGGAACACCGGUGGCGAAGGCGGCAUCCUGGACCGACACUGACGCUGAGGCGCGAAAGCCAGGGGAGCAAAGCGGGG
rnacentral:rRNA from 1 species